rnacentral:rRNA from 1 species
AUGGCCGCCAGGAAUUUCUUAGUCCGAUCCCCCAAGGAGGAGGAAUCCAGCGCUGCCGUCCGAGAGGCUGUCUUGUUGGGAGGGAAGAACGCCGCCAUUGCUGGUACUGUGGUCGCGGUUCCCACGUUGGUUGCUUGCCGUGUCCUUCCUUGGGCUAAGCAUAAUCUGAACUACACCGCACAAGCACUCAUCAUAUCGGCAGGUACUAUGCUACUCAAAACUGUCUUUGUCGAGCUAGUGUAG